rnacentral:rRNA from 1 species
AUGACGCUGGCGGUAGGCUUACACCUGCAGUCGGAUGCGAGAAAGUACCUUCGGGUGCGAGUAGAGCGGCGGACGGGUGAGUAACGCGUAGGAAUCUACCUAGUAGAAGGGGAUAGCCCGGGGAAACUCGGAUUAAUACCGUAUACCUCCUUAGGGAGAAAGAGGGCUUAGCUUUGAUGCUCUCGCUAUUAGAUGAGCCUGCGUAAGAUUAGCUUGUUGGUGAGGUAAUGGCUCACCAAGGCGACGAUCUUUAGCUGGUCUGAGAGGACGAUCAGCCACAUUGGGACUGAGACACGGCCCAGACUCCUACGGGAGGCAGCAGUGGGGAAUAUUGGACAAUGGGCGCAAGCCUGAUCCAGCCAUACCGCGUGUGUGAAGAAGGCUUUCGGGUUGUAAAGCACUUUAAGUAAGGAGAAAAAGAUUGUAGUUAAUACCUGCAAUCCUUGAUGUUACUUACAGAAUAAGGACCGGCUAAUUCCGUGCCAGCAGCCGCGGUAAUACGGAAGGA